UACGUAGGGGGCAAGCGUUGUCCGGAAUCAUUGGGCGUAAAGAGCGCGUAGGCGGCCCAGUAAGUCCGCUCUGAAAGUCAGGGGCUCAACCCCUGAAUGCGGGUGGAUACUGCUGGGCUAGAGUACGGAAGAGGCGAGUGGAAUUCCUGGUGUAGCGGUGAAAUGCGCAGAUAUCGGGAGGAACACCUAUGGCGAAGGCAGCUCGCUGGGCCGGUACUGACGCUGAGACGCGAAAGCGUGGGGAGCAAACAGG
rnacentral:rRNA from 1 species